rnacentral:rRNA from 1 species
UACGGGGGGUGCGAGCGUUGUCCGGAAUCACUGGGCGUAAAGGGCGCGUAGGUGGUUUGAUAAGGGUGUGGUGAAAGUCCGGGGCUCAACCCCGGAUCUGCCGUGCCGACUGUCAAACUCGAGGACUGUAGAGGCAGGCGGAAUUCCCGGUGUAGUGGUGGAAUGCGUAGAUAUCGGGAGGAACACCAGUGGCGAAGGCGGUUGCCUGGGGCUUUGCUGACGCUGAUGCGCGAAAGCGUGGGGAGCGAGUCCGG